GUGGAGUGUGCGCGGAAGCCAGCCGUGGGGCUGGGCUGCUCCAGGGCCAAAAAGAUUGUUCUCGCCGCCGUCUCCCCGUCGAGGUCCAUUUACUCUUGCAAGUGCUAUCACCCCUCAGGCCGGCUGUAAUUCAGUUUGACAUUCCAGCCUCAGUUGAAAGCUCCCACCAUCAUCCUGCCCCAACUCUUGGACUGUGAUGGAGCUUUUCACAUCAACUAUCAUGUCAGGUUGUUUUUGGACUCAGCACAAUUCUGUGCUGUGUCAUACCUUUCUCUUGUGUACAUUCUGAAGCAGAAGCCAUCUCGGACCCUUCCAGCUCUCCCCUGCCGCUGCAGAGCAC